UGUGCAGCUUAAUAAUGUCAACAAUCCACACUUUCUCAUCAUGCAAGGUAGAAUCACCAAAGUCUUAAACAUGAAACCUCCCGAGAUACUGUGGGUGCUGGAACAAGAAUGUAUGAAAACAAGAAAGAAAGAAUGUUCAACAGUAGAGGAAGAAGAAGAAGAAGAUGAGACAUGGAGGAGCGAGAUAGUAACAAGGGUGAUGAGAAUCGUGAGCAAGAGAUUGAUCUUUUUUACUCUGCUACCUUGAUGGUCUUAAGGUUCGUGUUUCCUUUGGAAGUAGUCUUUAUCAGAUGACAGCAGAGGGCAAAGUAAGUGUUGCUUCUCUUCAAACCGGCGCCUCCUUUAUAUAUUACAUUCACCUCUGCUUUUUCAUUCUCAGAUUGAUUUGUCAAAAGUUGUCGGUAAUGUAUCUUUCGUAAAAAACUGAUCCGUGUUACAAUCAAUGAUUUUGAAUUAUUCAGGUUGAUGCAGCUCUUGAUCCAAGUCACACACACAACAUAGGAAGAAGCUCAUUUCCCUCACUCGCAGGUCAAAAUAUCACACACACAACUAUUCAUCUAUGUGUGGCAAGCUUAAUAUUUUUGACCAUACAUAUAGAUAUAUUUUUUCAUAAAAAAAAAGGUCUAAAUAGAAGUAAAAAGAGUCUAAAAUAACACCAAUCUAUUUUUUUUUUGGUGCAAAAAAUAACACCAAUAAUCUAUGGCUAAUCCUUAGAUAAUGGUAAUAUGCUUGAACUUGGAUUGGAUUUACUAAGUGCUUCCUCGAUAUCCUCAUGAUAGUCCGGACAGUGGUUGCAUGUGCAUAUGCAGUUCUUGGCUUCCGACGAAGAUCUAUGUUCCUCAAUUAAACCUAGUUUAAAAAUUAGGUAUAGAAGAGCCAAUAGGAUUAAGUAGAAUAUACCGCCGAUCACAAAAAGAGCAACCUCCAGCAAUCCCCACGCCAUUGAAGGAAAUUAUUUAAUGGGAAAAUAAAGAAACGUAAAAUCUUCCAUUAGGCUGUGUAUUAUAUAUAUAUAUACUCGAGGAUUCAUUGGGUCAGAGAUUAUUUAGGAUCAGGAUACCUAUGAAUAUUCCACAAGAGUCUUGGAUUAUAUUUAUAUAUAUAAAUUCGUCAUUUAUCUUUAUAAAAUAAAGUAAAAGUUUUUUUUCUCCUAAGGAUAACACAACAAAGAUAUAUACGGUAUUUUCACAUAUGUCACAAGAUAGAUUUUGUAUCCUCUUUCGUGUUUCGAUAUAUCUUCAUAACACAAUACUAAAAAAGAUUUGCAUAUUGAUGGGAUGAACUUAAAGGAUUCUCGGAGAUCGUUAUGCGUAUCGGCUUGGAGAAUCGAAGCAAGGGUGCUCGAAUGAUAUAAGAUUUAUCGAUCAAAGACAAGUCAUACGUUGUGACUAGAUGAUGAAGAAAUAUAGCCAUCCCAAGCCUAGCAAACUCUGCUCCUGCACAUAGUCUUGCACCACCACCAAACGCCAUGAACGUUUUAGAGCCACAAAGCAAUUCCUUCCCCUCCCAUCUCCAUGGAUUAAACUCACAUGGUUGUUCAUAGAUUUGAGGGUCAUAAUGAAGAAGAGAUGGAACAACCAAUACAAUCCAUCCUGCUGGAAUUGUAUACCCUGCAACCACAACACGAUUUUGAAUUAGAUCAUUGGUAACAAACUUAUAGUUAUUUACCAAAGUCUUAAACAUGAAACCUCCCGAGAUACUAUGGGUGCUGGAACAAGAAUGUAUGAAAACAAGAAAGAAAGAAUGUUCAACAGUAGAGGAAGAAGAAGAAGAAGAAGAGACAUGGAGGAGCGAGAUAGUAACAAGGGUGAUGAGAAUCGUGAGCAAGAGAUUGAUCUUUUUUACUCUGCUACCUUGAUGGUCUUGAGGUUCGUGUUUCCUUUGGAAGUAGUCUUUAUCAGAUGACAGCAGAGGGCAAAGUACGUGUUGCUUCUCUUCAAACCGGCGCCUCCUUUUUAUAUUACAUUCACCUCUGCUUUUUCAUUCUAUUAAGCAUAUAAUUGUAUAUAGUUAUUUAGUAUAU
rnacentral:lncRNA from 1 species